rnacentral:rRNA from 1 species
GAGUUUGAUCGUGGCUCAGAGUGAACGCUGGCGGUAGGCCUAACACAUGCAAGUCGAACGGCAGCACAGUAAGAGCUUGCUCUUAUGGGUGGCGAGUGGCGGACGGGUGAGGAAUACAUCGGAAUCUACUUUUUCGUGGGGAUAACGUAGGGAAACUUACGCUAAUACCGCAUACGACCUACGGGUGAAAGCAGGGGAUCUUCGGACCUUGCGCGAUUGAAUGAGCCGAUGUCGGAUUAGCUAGUUGGCGGGGUAAAGGCCCACCAAGGCGACGAUCCGUAGCUGGUCUGAGAGGAUGAUCAGCCACACUGGAACUGAGACACGGUCCAGACUCCUACGGGAGGCAGCAGUGGGGAAUAUUGGACAAUGGGCGCAAGCCUGAUCCAGCCAUACCGCGUGGGUGAAGAAGGCCUCGGUUGUAAGA